GAUGAACGCUGGCGGCGUGCCUAAUACAUGCAAGUCGAGCGAACAGACGAGGAGCUUGCUCCUUUGACGUUAGCGGCGGACGGGUGAGUAACACGUGGGUAAUCUACCUAUAAGACUGGGAUAACUUCGGGAAACCGGAGCUAAUACCGGAUAAUAUUUCGAACCGCAUGGUUCGAUAGUGAAAGAUGGCUCUGCUAUCACUUAUAGAUGGACCUGCGCCGUAUUAGCUAGUUGGUAAGGUAACGGCUUACCAAGGCAACGAUACGUAGCCGACCUGAGAGGGUGAUCGGCCACACUGGAGCUGAGACACGGUCCAGACUCCUACGGGAGGCAGCAGUAGGGAGUCUUCCACAAUGGGCGAAAGCCUGACGGAGCAACGCCGCGUGAGUGAUGAAGGUCUUCGGAUCGUAAAACUCUGUUAUUAGGGAAGAACAAACGUGUAAGUAACUGUGCACGUCUUGACGGUACCUAAUCAGAAAGCCACGGCUAACUACGUG
rnacentral:rRNA from 1 species